rfam:Pimelobacter simplex strain VKM Ac-2033D, complete genome.
CCCGGUACCUCGUACGGCCGGGACGACUGCCCCGGUACCUGACACGGCCGGGGAAG